rnacentral:misc_RNA from 1 species
GAAAUGCGAUAAGUAGUGUGAAUUGCAUAUUUCCGUGAAUCAUCGAAUCUUUGAACGCAACUUGCACUCUCGGGCAUUCCUGAGAGUAUACCUGUUUGAGCAUCAGUAACACCCUUACUCCCAACCGUGGUUGGGCAGUGGCAUUGGGCCUCAAGCUUGCUUGUCGCCUGGAAUGGAUUCGGCGCCCGCGUCAAGUGUGCUUCACUUUCAAAGGCAAGCUAGGAACAGUCGUUCUCUUGGCUGGAGAAGUGAGGAGGCUUGGCUAUGGAGCUGCAUUUACAUCAGAGGCGUGCAAACGUCUCUGUGAAUUUGAUCUCAAAUCAGGUAAGACUACCCGCUGAACUUAA